rnacentral:rRNA from 1 species
GAUAAACGCUGGCGGCAUGCCUAAUACAUGCAAGUCGAACGAGAUUCUAAUGAAGAUUUAUCGGAUUUAGAUGAAAGUGGCGGACGGGUGAGUAACGCGUGAACAAUCUACCUCAUACUGGGGAAUGGCCCCGAGAAAUUGGGAAUAAAACCGCAUAAGACCACAGCAUCGCAUGAUGCAGAGGUAAAACUCCGGUGGUAUGAGAAGAGUUCGCGUCUGAUUAGCUAGUUGGUGAGGUAACGGCCCACCAAGGCGACGAUCAGUAGCCGGCCUGAGAGGGUGUACGGCCACAUUGGAACUGAGAGACGGUCCAAACUCCUACGGGAGGCAGCAGUAGGGAAUAUUGCACAAUGGGGGAAACCCUGAUGCAGCAAUGCCGCGUGAAGGAUGAAGGUUUUCGGAUCGUAAACUUCUAUCGAUGGGGAAGAAAGAAAUGACGGUACCCAAGUAAGAAGCCCCGGCUAACUAUGUGCCAGCAGCCGCAGUAA